CUCCCCCGCCGCGGCGGGAGCGGCGACCCGGCGAGGGGGCGGGGAGGAUGACUUCAUGCCGCCGGAGCGCCAUGAAUUUAGGAGCAGCAGCUGCCGCCGGCGGCGGGAUGUGGGGGUGAAGUGACAGCGGGAGCUGUCGCCGCCUGAAGGAGGGAAGGAGGGAGGGAGGGAGCGAGCGAGGGAGGGGCGGGCGGGCAGGCAGGCAGCGCCGGGCACUGCGUCCCGCUCCGCCCCGCCAAGCCCAGGGCUGCGGGCCCCCACAAGCAGCCGCUGCGGGAGGCAGGGUGGAAGAUGCGCUGAGCCGGUCGCUGGGAAGAGACUAAUGGACUGCAUACUUUAAACAAAUGUAUAUGACUUCUUAAGUGAACUACAAGACAGAAUUCUGGGAGGAAGAAAAUUAUUUUUAGCACUGCUCUGGAGACAGCAUUCAAAUGACUGCAUAUCUUCUUGUGGUGAAGCCAAGCAGCCCAUUCACCAACUGCAAAAAAAAAAGUUAUGUACCAGAUUGAUGCCUCUUUUCUCAAAGGUAUGUUUCAUUUACCAUUCAGUGAUCUCUUAU
rnacentral:lncRNA from 1 species